AAUCAUUAGGGGAUUCAUCAGUACUAUUUAUGUUAUAAAAAAACCUGCCCGAGAGCAGGUUUUUGUUUAUU
rnacentral:sRNA from 1 species